CAAUAUUGUUGUAGAAUUAAAUUAGUUGCUCCUCUGUAGAAACUCUCUCAAUUUUCUAGUUCCUUCGGAAUAUUGAAAAAUCAUUGAUGUGGACUGUUUUCACUAUAGGAAAAUAUAAAAAGUGGAAAUCUAGUAACUAGUACUGGGUAAGCAUAAAUGCAGUGAAAAUCUGCUAAUAUUACCAGCAUGAGCAAGGCAACUAAAAACAUAAUAUUUAGAUUUAUGUGAAUUUGAGCAAGUUUUUAAUCCCUCAGACCUCAUUUCAUCUGUAAAAGAUGGAUAAUAGUAUUACUUAGCUUCCCUGAUUUUUUCAGGGAAAUGAUCUGAAAAAAAUCUCCAAUUCAUGACAAAUGAUCAUUGCUACUUUUAUAGUUCAUCCCUGUAGGGACCCAGAGAAUCCCUGCUCUUAUGGUCUUAUAUUGGGCUGCAGAAGUGGGCAGAGACACAUGUCAGUAGUUUCCUCGUACUGGUCUGUUAGAUCAGGUGGGUAACAUUGUCACACCACCACAAACUGAUUCCUUAAUUUUGCAAUGAAUUUGCAAUAAAACUGCCCCAAAUAGUAAAAAUAAAACAAAACAGUUGAAGAACUUAUUGCUUUGACCUAUGGAGCU
rnacentral:lncRNA from 1 species